rnacentral:rRNA from 1 species
UACGGGGGGGGCAAGCGUUGUUCGGAAUUACUGGGCGUAAAGGGCUCGUAGGUGGCCAACUAAGUCGGACGUGAAAUCCCUCGGCUUAACCGGGGAACUGCGUCCGAUACUGGUUGGCUUGAGUUUGGGAGAGGGAUGCGGAAUUCCAGGUGUAGCGGUGAAAUGCGCAGAUAUCAGGAGGAACACCGGUGGCGAAGGCGGAUCUCUGGGCCUUACCUGACGCUCAGGCGCGAAAGCUAGGGGAGCGAACAGG